UUGUGAGCAAAGUCCUGUCUAUCUUCUGAAUAGGAAUCUCCGACCACUGACCAAACUCCAUUUGUAACCACUGCCUAUUUGUACCUUCUCCUCAAUGACUACAUUUCAUUUCCCCAAGUCUGAUCUCAAAGGCAAGUGGCAGGGGAAGCAAAACAGUAAAAAUGAACACGAAAAGGCAGCAGCUGGAGGGAGAAAAAGACAACCUCUGUGGCCUGGAAGAGAUGAGGAAAUGAGGAAUAUACUCGGUCUUAUUGUGGGGAUUGUUUCUUUGAGAUCUGCAACACUGGAAAUGUGAGGCACAUCCAGGAGCGUGUUGAUGUUGAUAAGAGUAAAACAAAUGGAGACAAUAUGCUGCCUGCAGCAGAUUUGAGGCCAGCAGAAAGAGGCUGUUGCAGGAGAUGGAGGAGAUAGGUUUGUUCCCGCCGUCGGCACUAAUCUCGCGACAAAUGCCACCCUGGCUACUGCAGGUGGCAGUUCUCGCGAGGGAGACUUGACAGCUAUGGUGGGAACUGCAUGGUGAGUAGGAACGUUUAAGAACGGCUGGUGACAGGGAGAAUGCAGAGCAACUGAAGGAGGGAGGCUAUGAACACAGAUGAGUGGAAAUAACAUAAAUAUCUAAACACAAGAAUGACCAUGAACUGAAUCUAAUAAGAAUAACUAGAAUAACAGCAACUAAACACGGAAGCGCAGAGGAACACCUAACACAGGAGAAUCAUGACAGUUAGAGGCUUUAAAAAACUUUAGAUUGGUGCAGAGGUUCACCUUCAAGCCAGACAAUGACUGAAAACAUACCAGAGCUACAAUGGGAUGGUUUUGAAUAUUCAUCUGAAACAAUCCAGUUGAGAAUAUGCAGAAAGACAUGGAAAUUGAGGUUUAAAAUUUUCAAAAACCAUGUUUCCUUUAGUGUUCACUUUAUAAUUAUUAACUACAUUUUGCGGUUGUAACGUGACAAAAUGUGAAAACUUUGAAGGGUAUAAACAUGUUUGCAUGGUGCUCUAUUUUUCAGAUGUUUCCUGUCUGUGCUCACAAACUGGGAGCGUAACUAAUACUCUCCUCUUUCUGACCAUAAAAGCUGCAUUAGUGUCUGGUUUUAUGGCGGAGAAAGUCUCCGAUGAGCAAAUCGUGAGGCGUAAUGAGGUGAAAUACAGGGCAGAAAAUUUCCUGCAGCAGCAUUAAACAAACACGACUUGCUAACAAGAAAUUACCUGUCUGGAUGCUCUGUAUCAUCAGAUUUAUGACUUAAUUAAUGAUCAGUCAGACACACAGAGAAGAAUAUAUUAUAUUGUUUUAUCUUAGGAGUAACUCACGCAAUGAAUUGAAAAUAUUUCACUUGUCAGGCUGACAGUAUAAUCAGUAACUCAUCAUAUAUUACUGUGGGUACAUUCUAACUUUUUCAUUACCAUAACUUGUAAAUAGUAAAUUAUUCUCAGUUAACAUUUUCAUUAUUUGUUUUGCUUCAAAAUGGUAUUUGCUCACUGACAUUUUAAUAAUCAAGCGCGAUAUUUGUGGAAAACAUUCAUCAGGUGACACUUUCCAUCCCGCUGUCACUAUGGUAACAGUCUUAAAAUUCGGUUAUUUAAAGCUGGUUUGAUGUUCCCUGUCAAUAAAAACACAUGUAAUUCAGUGUAAUGUGUCUUUGAUCCUUUGUUUAAGUCUUCUGGUUUUACUGGUUUUCUCCUUCUUAUGAGAAGUUUUUCCCACCAGGUUCCCUCUGAAAAAUAAACAAGCGCCUGUGUGAAAAGUAAAUGUAUUCGGCUGUAUAUUAUAAAUUUGUGUUUACUGCAUAGUCAUUGUACUUCCUCUGUCACUUCUAGGCUUUUCUAUAUCAAGACAUAAUUCAUUUUUUAAUAGUUUGUAGAACAACCUUUAGCAUUUAAUUUCUGGACAAGUUUCAUACAUAUUAGGGAGGAAUUUUGUCAGAUUCCUCUUUACAAUGUUGCUUCAGAUAAUUGAUCAUAAGUUAUGUUUUGUUUCUUUACAGCUCUCUCAAGUUCCCACCACAGCAUUUCAAUCAGGGUCGGGCUCUGGACUUUGGCUGUUGCAACUUUUUGAUUUCUUUUCUUUUUCAGCCAUUCUGUUAAGAUGAACCAAUCUCAUCCUGUUGAUCAGUUUGGUUCGAGUUCCAAUUGUCAGACAGAUGUUCUCACAUCAGACUCUAGAAUACUUAUACUUACAACACUACUUAGCCAUGGGCAGUGAAGAUACCCACUUCCUGUAGUUGCAGAACAAGCCCAGAUCGUCGCCUUUCCACCACCGUGUUUGACAGCUGGAAUGAGAUGUUUGGACAAAAUAGAAAUGUUUGGCCAUGAUGCAAAGCACAACAUCUGGAGAAAACCAAAUACAGCAGGGGAGCCCAGGUCUAGUUCUGAAAAGUUACUAUUCUGCAACUUUUAGAAGCAUCCCUUCUGCAGCACACCUGCAUGUCAUUCAUCUCUGCAGCGGCCUGGUGUCAAGCCAUUCAUUCUAAUUCUGGUGUGUUGGAGAAGUGAUGCAUCUAGCAGCUGUAGAGUAUAGUAGCUAAUCAAAUAUCUUUCGUUUGAUUUUUACAAUGCAUGGUGCAAUGCAUUUUGAACUCAUCUCAUAUGUUCUAGGAACGCUGUUCCAGAAGAUGCAACAAGUCUGCCAGGAGAAGACUUUUCCCAGCAGAUUUGUUCCAUUUCAUUAUUUCUCUGAGGACACCACUUUCACUAACUGUUAUUCAGAGGUAUAAAUCCUGUUCGUUUUGGGCUAUUUGCAGGUGUGGAUGGAUUUUUCAGGUUUAAACAAGCUAAUUUCUUGUGUUCAUCAUAAAUAUGUAACUUAAUGCAAAUGUGUUAUCUUAUUUGUUCUUCGCAGUUUUCAGAAAACAGUGAUGCUGUAAGAUGAAUAUGUAAAUGAUACAAAUUAAAGGAUCAAUGCACAGAAUUUAUUGAUUAAAGAUUUCAAGCUUUUUAUCUGUUUCUUUAGGCACUCUUCUAACAAUUAUUGGCAAUGUCUGUUUUAUGAUGAUGCAACCAAUUACUUUAAAGAAUUAAUAGUGUAUUGAGAAGUGUUUAAUGACAUUAUCUUAAAAAGCACAAGGUAUUUUUACAUUUAAAAAUGAUUUAACCUAAUAGAAACUCUGGACUUGUUCAGUGAAAAUUCAGGGAAUAAUAAAAAUGCAGAUUUUAUCUUUCUGUAUGUGAAUCUGACAGAGAUGUUACUAAGCCAAUAAAAAAUGUCACACUAUCACUCUAGGUUUAAAUUGAUGAUUUUAUUCUUUGCCAAGAAAGAAAUUAAUGAUAUGUGGAAAUAUCCCAGGCUAAUCCUUUAUGCUCCUCAUACUUUAUCAAUAAUUUGUAAAACAGUGUUGCUGCCAAGGUUCACGUGCUUCCUGAAGGCACCAUCCUCUCUGCUGCUGACCGUCUGAAGAAAGGCUUAAACACAUUUUGAGCAGCGUCUCCUCACCGCUGAUGGCCAAUAAAUAUGCUUGAACUGCAGUGUGCGGUGUAUAAAGAUUUGCACACAAUAAGCUAAAAGGACACUCUUGCGUUGGCUGUUGGGGACACCUACACUUUCAGGUAACAUCUGGAAGAGCAUCUCAGCUGCACCUCCUCCCAUGGAAGGAGCUUGGCAGCCUCCUGCUGGGUGAGGGAGAGGAGAGCUCAGCUGCUGCUCCUCUGAGGAGGAGAUGAGUAAAGGUCGUGUCCAGCAUGAAUCAGAGAAGGAGCACACAUUAAACAAUCAUUCUGGGAUAUUUGUGUAUAAAAGCAAAGAUUUAGAGCACCACAGAUAGAUUUUUAUUUCUCAUAUUGUAAUGUUAGUUUACAUAAAGUGAGAAUUUAUUUGCUUAAAGACAGUUACUUUCAAAUUUAGCUUUCAAAAAUCUCUUGGGGAAAUUUCCAGUUUUCUUUUACAGGAACUGCAAAACUAGAAAAAUUGAGGAUUUGGGCUUUAAAAUGGCAAUUAAGAAAAUGACUACUUUUUCUGACUGUAGCAUGUAUGUCAACAUGCAGUCAUAGCAAAUCAGAACAUAUUUAAACAAUCUGUAACAUUAGGUUGAUUUUCUGUCACCCGACUUUCUGUCCCUCUAAGUUACAGAGAAUGUAACUGACCUACACAUCAUAAUUCAAAAUAAUAACAUUUUCAUCAACACCAUGAUAACUGACUAUCAUUUGUGACAAAACAUAUUAUGUCUCAUUUAUUUGAUUGUUUUCUACGUUUGCAGGUAAUAUAAAAGUCAUAAUAUCUCAGAGUGCCUUGAGCAGUGCUGGGACAACACCUGUGGAGUACUAGACUGGGGACAUUAGGUCCAAUAUUUUUGUAAAAACAGGGUCAGAGAAAAAAUGUUCAACCUGUUAGGAAUCACACUUCUCGGCCUCCCGCAAAAAACCUUCUCUGGUUGUUGGAAAGGAGGUUCCACUUUAUUGUCGAGCCUCUGGUUCAGGAAGAAUACUGUAGCCUUCAUCCUGGCUUCGGAACAGGGGAUCAGAUCUUUACCUGAUGCUGUUAUGGCCAAUAUAAUCAAGCAAGAGUUGUCAGGCUGGUUCUCAGUAUGUUAUCUGUGUUUUCAAAAAGUAAACCUAAAAAUGAGCCAGAUGUGGGUGGAAGGACAACUCUGUGACUCGCCAACACCAGACAGUUUUCCUCCAGACAGCCUCCCUCACACCACAGGGCAUGAUUUCAUCUGUCUGAUGCAAACCACUGCAGAGUGCCUAAUAAAUAAAAUCUCCCUGCAAUGGGCUGCGUCUUGUCUGGAAAGUGAGGAGAGUAACAAUUUGCACCAAACUCCUAUAUAAUAUAGCUUUUUUUAAUGAAACCGUUCUGUCACUUGAUUUAUCUCCAUCACGUAGAAAGUGAAAUCAACAUCCAUGCUAUAUAUCUGCAGCAAAAGAUGUCUGCACUGACAGUUUACACAUACACUACAGAGCUGCAAGGGUCAGUGUUGCUGCUUCUCCUCCUGACUUGAAGACUUUGCUUUUAAUUAUUCACAGCAGCAACUUUUACUCAAGCAGACUGAAUGGCUGCUGGAGAUAUUUUAGAUUUUUAUUUGUUGCUUUUCUAUGUCGUUCUAAAUGUAGAAGCUUCACUUUCUUGCGUAGCAUUAUCGACCUGCUACUUGAUGUAGAACUAAAACAGACUUUUAUUUGGUUUAGUUUGUUGAGGAAUGAUGCUUCACAUGUCAUGUACAGUACAGCUUGUCAAACAAAAGCAAAUACAUAAUAUUAAUGUGAUAAAACCAUAAACGACAUGCUUUAAAACAAAUUUGAAGAUGCUGGUGAUUGGAAUUAGAAUAAUGAUGUAAUCAUAUAACAACAAAUAAAAAACCAGCAAACAAAGAAAGCAUUAAUGUAUUUCUUUAAAUGGGUUCAGUUUCAACAAAUAUCUUACCAGUCAAUAAGCAAUGAAUAAAGUGCCAAAAUAUACCAAAAAGAUGAUUCAUUAAAUACUCAUAUUUAUCAUGAUUAAAUACAUAUUUUCAUAAUUCUUGAAAUCAUGAUGACAUGUUAAUAUUUUAUUUAAUACUUAUUGCAAUGAUUAAAAGCAGUUUGUUUAAAUUUCAACAGAACUUCUGCAGUUAUUAUAAUUAUUAGUAUGCAUUUUUUUCUAAUUCUUAACUGAAAUAUUUACCCGUUUGAGAAAUAAUUUAGGGAUUUAAUUUUAUUUUAACUACAGCCUUAGCACAACAAAUAAUCUGCCACCUACAGUACAACAUUGUGUACACUAGGUGGCAGUGUGCGUUUUGGUUCACUAUCUUGCAGUGCGCCCUAACAACUAAAGAUCUUCCUCCAGCUGCAGUUGAAGAAUGGAGACAAAAGCAGUUUGAUGGCAGAGGAGACCCUAAAGUAUCACAGAUUCUUCAACAUAUUUGACAUGAACAUGAGGUGCUUUUCAACAUAUUCCUGCUCUGUUUUACACCAAACCCACCAGUGUGUUUGCUUCCAAAGGGUUACCAGUAAUUGUGUCACCUUUGAUUUUGCCAGAAACAAUUGUUUCUUAACAUUCUUUAACAAAUAAAUGUACUAAAAUAAAAGGUU